GGUAUUGUCUUGAAUGUUAGGGUUGAAGACCGUAGGCCCCUUUUAUGUCAUCAAGGUCCUCACAACUGUGCCUUGCGUGGUUCGUCUUUCACCCUUCCUUUUCACCCUGUUGGGGUUUUCAUCAGAUUCCCCAAAUUUUUCUUGUGUGUGCCGCUUUCACUAGAUUUUGUUCAACAUGACUCAAGAUCUCGAGAUGAAGGAUCGCUUAACGCCUUCCAACUCCGUUUCUUCACCUGCUCCGUCUACUCUUCAGCAUUUGAGAGAGAUAGCGUCGCUUAUCGAGACCGGUUCGUACACGAAGGAAGUUCGUAGAAUUGCUCGUGCUGUUCGCCUUACAAUUGCGUUGAGGCGUAAAUUAACAGCGUCGAUUAUCUCGUCUUUUCUUGAUCAUGUCCUCACUAGUGGUUCUGAAGCUCAUGCCAAAUUGUCUGCGCAUCUUCCCAAGGAGGAUGAUCACGAAAUGGAAGUGGAUGCCGCAACAUCUGCAAUUCAAACUCCAGCUAAACACUUGUUGCCGGAGCUAGAAAUCUACUGUUACCUGCUUGUACUACUUUUUCUGAUUGAUAAAAAAAAAUACAAUGAGGCCAAAGCUUGUUCCUCAGCUAGCAUCGUUUGGCUGAAGAAUACAAACAGGAGGACUGUUGAUGUUAUUGCAUCCAGACUGUAUUUUUACUAUUCAUAUAGCUAUGAGCUUACGGGAGAUCUUGCUGAAAUCCGUGGCAACCUCCUUGCAUUGCACCGAAUUGCCACCCUGCGCCAUGACGAGUUAGGCCAGGAAACACUUCUUAAUUUGCUGCUCCGCAACUACCUUCACUACAAUCUAUAUGAUCAGGCCGAAAAGUUGAGGUCUAAGGCUCCUCGAUUUGAAGCGCAUUCAAACCAACAGUUCUGUCGCUACCUCUUCUACCUUGGGAAAAUUCGGACAAUUCAAUUGGAGUACACAGAUGCAAAAGAGUCUCUCCUGCAGGCUGCCCGGAAAGCUCCAGUUGCUGCACGGGGUUUUCGAAUUCAAUGUAACAAGUGGGCUGUGAUAGUUCGGUUACUGUUGGGAGAAAUACCUGAGCGCACUGUCUUUAUGCAGAAAGGAAUGGAAAAGGCUUUAAGGCCUUACUUUGAGCUUACAAAUGCUGUACGGAUUGGAGACUUGGAACUGUUUAGGAAUAUUGCAGACAAGUUUGCCACUACCUUCACUGCAGAUAGAACCCAUAAUUUGAUUGUUCGGUUGCGCCAUAAUGUUAUCAGAACUGGUUUACGUAACAUCAGCAUCUCCUAUUCUCGCAUUUCUCUAGCUGAUGUUGCUAAAAAGCUGAGGUUGAACUCUCCGAAUCCUAUUGCUGAUGCUGAGAGCAUUGUAGCAAAGGCUAUUCGUGAUGGUGCAAUUGAUGCUACAUUGGAUCAUGCCAACGGGUGGAUGGUGUCCAAGGAAACUGGAGAUAUUUACUCCACAAAUGAGCCUCAGUUGGCCUUUAAUUCUCGAAUUGCAUUCUGUCUUAACAUGCACAAUGAGGCAGUACGAGCACUUCGUUUUCCACCAAACACGCACAAAGAGGAGAGUGCUGAAAAAAGAAGAGAGAGACAACAACAAGAGCAGGAGCUGGCUAAGCAUAUUGCAGAAGAGGAUGACGACGAUUUCUGAGAAAUAUCUUUUCUCACCCUACCAAAUGCUACCAGGGCACCUUCAUGUCCAACCUCUGCUGAUGUUUUCUUUUGAAGAACUUCAAUUAUCCUUUCCUUCUCUAGAGGGUCCUUGAACGCAUUAGAGCUUUUUGUUAAUACUGAGGAAUUGCAAGAAAGGAAAGGAGGGGUGGUGUAUACCUUUUCUCUUUGGGUUGGGUAUAAUUUUUUCCUUUGGGUGUUACAAAGGAGAUCUAAAACCUUGUGCGGAAGAGUCUGAGGGGUAGACUAAGGUGUUGUUGGGCUUUAGGCAAACAUUCAUUUAAAGAGCUGAGUCAAACGUUUCCUAUAGGGCUACAGGGCUCUGGAUCCUCUAAAGAUUCCAAUCUGCGAAGAUCAAAUCGAUUUCCUUUACUUCAGAAAACACGUUGUUUUUUUUUUUUUUCUUAAUUAUGUGUUUUAAUAUGUAAAACAACUUUUUACGGCUAUGAUCAUGUCAUGUGUAAUUGUUAACCACUCCAGAUUGGAUUGAAUGAAAUUGUGCAAGUAACGCGGCAUUUGGUCCAUGGC